rnacentral:lncRNA from 1 species
AGAGCCACUGAGUUUGAGGCUGUAACAGCAGGACGGGGCUCUGAAGACCCCCCUCGCCCAACCCCCUCAUUUUACAGAAGAGGCAACUGAGGCCCAGAGGGGGAGAGCCCAGAGUGACAAUGCCAAUUAGGGCUAGGACUGGGUCCCAGGUCUCCAGCCACCACAGUGCCCUGCCUCUGCUAGAAUCAAAACCCACCCACCAGAGGACAUGCACUUGAGAACACACCCUUUAGCGCUUUCUGCUGUCAGUUACAUGGCUCACUCUCCAUUCACAGACAGAACAGAGGAAUUCACUGGAAAGGAGAACCACUUCACAGCAACGUUUUACAAGAAGCCUGAUGGUGGGAUGGAGCCCCUCAUUCAUAUUAAUGAGACAUGCAUGGAAGUGGCAAUGAGCAUGUGGAGUGUGGCUAAAAGAAAUGUGGUUCUUCACUUGGAGCUGAUGUGAAACACAGGCAAUCUGUUGGCCUACUGAGAGGAACUUCUUUUAAAAGCCAAGAACAAGAAUACCACCCGAAGACAUCUGUUCCUCUCAUCCUUUAGUGAAGUGCAGAUGGAGAUUCCUACGUGGUUUUG